UAUGCUUUUUUUUGUUAGAUUCCGUCCCCAAUCGCAGAGGUGGAUCCAUUGAUCGCCCCUGGACUCCACCUGAUUGCAAAAGCACAAAACUUUCUGGCAGCCCUGGCUCCAACAACGAUGAGGAACAGGGGAAUUGCAGGGCCUUAAAUUUACUCUAGGAACUUACAAUUUGGGUUGCUUUUUCGCUAAAUUUGUUUGGAGUGCAAAGAAUUGAGGCCGUAAGUAGAUGUUCAGUUCUAGUUCUUUUUAAUGAUCAAUGCAAAUUAGAGGCCGAUUGAAUUAGCUUGUGUGCGUUUUCCUUCACAAAAUGCAAGAAACGACUGCUGUACAUUGUGCUCAUCAUGUGCAUCACUGUCCAUUUUCUUGGCGAAAUAAAGAAAGAUGCCUGUGUUUUCUGGAUAGUUUAGUUAUUAUUAUGUGGCAUCAGAGCUGCACCAUAAUUAUUGUUUUGUGAUUUAAAUCCUGCUAACCAUGUUGAUUCGAUGCUUUUGAGAUGUAAUUUCCUUUUUUUUUCUGUCAUGUAGCCGCGUUGGUGUUUUCCUUUUGCUGUUUUCGGUGGUACGAAAGCUGUGUUUGGCGCUGGCUUUUUCUUUGUUUUCCCCUGGUACUCUUCGGUACCGCCCCAUUUCUACCAAUUUGGAUGAGUAAGUGCAGGUCUUAUUAUUUCCCAUGGUUAGAUAUGUGAAUUAAAUGAAGCUCACACAUGGUUUAUAUGAUUGUUGCAAUGAAUGUUCAGAAUGAGAUAGAGAGUGUGGUUAUUUAAAGAAAAUAGUCAGAUUCCAUAUGUUGUAGUAUUUGUAAUUUUUCUCUACAUGGUCAUUUUUGUAUUAAUAAAGCCUCCACACAAUGUUAAUCUUGUUUUUACCUUAUUUGGCAUUAUAUAUUUUUCAGUCUAGCCUGCUGCAUCCUCCUGCUUUCGACAAGAUUGACCCGUCUAGCCGAUUUUGUCUUACGCUUACUAUCUUUGUAAAUGUCUUAGAAUUACUUCCUUAUUUCUAAUGCAAUUGAACUUCAUUCUGCCUUUUUUUUCUUCAGGAAUAUAUUCAACCUGUUUAGGAGGUAAAUAUUUUUUUGAUCCACCUAUAAGCAUUUGACUAAUUUAUCGCUACACCUUCUUAUUUUAACAUGGCUGGAUUUUAUUCUUUCAUUGAUGCCAACAAGGUUAUGACUUUAUUUUAUAAUGGAAUAACUUCUGAUCCUUCAUGGAAUGAAUUUUUUAUGCUCACCUUCUACACGUCAUAAUGGAAUAACUUCUGAUCCUUCAUGGAAUGAAUUUUUUAUUUUGUCUGCUUAUAUACAUACAUCAGCCACUUAUUGGUGGAACAAUGGAAAAUCAUUUUUAUGUCUAAUCUCUACUAGAGCUUACAGUUUUAUCAUAUGUGGCUAAUCCUUGAACAAACAUUUUUUUACGUUUGCUCUGCCCAGGCUUUGAUUCCAUAUUGGAAGAUCCAUAUCAUCCCUUUUUCUUAAGAUUCAUGCUCAUCUUUAACCUCUAUCUGUUUACCACUUCAUGACUUCCAUAGACAUUUGUUUAUUUACUCUCAUUUGAUAUUGAUAAUUCAUCUACAUUGUUAUCUCCAUGCUUUUCCAUUUAUUGCACACCCAUUAUGCUAUUUGGUCAUUUGCAUUUCGCCAUUUUGGCAGUAGGCCAUUAGCUUCAAGCAAGACACUACUUCUAAACUUUGCUCGAUAUUUAUCUCUAGUUGGGCGGUCAGCCGGCGGUGGAUGGCUUUGGCGCAACACAAAAUGGUAUACUGAGAGCACAUAUACUGCCUUAAUGUUAUUUCUGUUGAUUUAUGUGGAAGUGGGUAUAUGUAGACAACUAGAAAUAAAGGAGUACAUCUGUCCAGCUACCAAUAAAGGAAUUGGUAUGUGUGAUGGACAGCCCCCUCGGCGUGUUCUCUGUUGGCUUCAACAAUUUUAACGGCAGGUUCAGUUUUGGCCACUGCUGCACAUUCAAGGCUGACAGCGGGAAGAGGGAUGCAGCAGAGGAUCGGAAGAUGCAUUACAAUGGUCGAUACUGGAGGCUCCCGUCCCCACCAAAGGCCUCAGGCACCCAAUGGCAGUGGCGCCUUAGCUCUUAUCAGUGACUCCAGCAGUAGCGUCUUCGUAUCGGAUAUCAGCUCCCUGGACAAGUCUCUCCGGCACUGCUUCCCUACGGGACUAGCUGGCUAUCACAAUGCGGCGGAGAAAAUUCUAGUGACUGUCAAAAGAUAAGCUACGACAUGAGCUAGCGUGCAAGACAGUGACAUAAUUGUGUUCUUCAGGUGUAGUCUUUCCCAGGUAGAUAAGCUAUGGGAGAAAUCAACGCCGGAAAUCAAACUGUAAUUAGUGCCUCUAAAAGCCCUUUUUCCAAAGAUCGAAUUUCAUUGUACCUGAGUGGAAAUUAUGGUAUUUGCUACGGAAUUCUUACGUUAUAGACAUCCGAUUCAUUUCAGUUUGUACUGAAUCCUUCGGUGAACAAUAGAACAAUAUAUGUUUGCGCAAAUUUGAUUA